GAUGAACGCUGGCGGCGUGCCUAAUACAUGCAAGUCGAGCGAAGCGGGGACGGGUGAGUAACACGUGGAUAACCUCCUAUAAGACUGGGAUAACUUCGGGAAACCGGAGCUAAACCGGAUAAUUAUCGAUUGAUCCGCGCUGCAUUAGCUAGGUUGUAAGGUAACGGCUUACCAAGGCAACGAUGCAUAGCCGACCGGAGAGGGUGAUCGGCCACACUGGAACUGAGACACGGCCCAGACUCCUACGGGAGGCAGCAGUAGGGAAUAUUCCGCAAGGGGCGAAAGCCUGACGGAGCAAUGCCGCGUGAGGGAUGAAUGCCUUAGGAUCGUAAAACACUGUUAUUAGGGAAGCGGUACCCAAUCAGAAAGCAACGGCUAACUCCGUGCCAGCAGCCGCGGUAAUUC
rnacentral:rRNA from 1 species